rnacentral:rRNA from 1 species
GUCGAACGGAGCGCCCGGACAGAGUAUUUCGGUACAAAGACCGGGUGGCUGAGUGGCGGACGGGUGAGUAACGCGUGGACAACCUGCCGUGUACAGGGGGAUAACAGCCGGAAACGGCUGCUAAUACCGCAUAUGCGCACAGUGCCGCAUGGCACAGGGCGGAAAGCCUAGAUCUUAUCUAGUACGGUACACGAUGGGUCCGCGUCUGAUUAGGUAGUUGGCGGGGUAACGGCCCACCAAGCCCACGAUCAGUAGCCGGCCUGAGAGGGCGGACGGCCACACUGGGACUGAGACACGGCCCAGACUCCUGCGGGAGGCAGCAGUGGGGAAUAUUGCACAAUGGGGGGAACCCUGAUGCAGCGACGCCGCGUGAAGGAAGAAGUAUCUCGGUAUGUAAACUUCUAUCAGCAGGGAAGAAAGAGGACGGUACCUGACUAAGAAGCCCCGGCUAACUACGUGCCAGCAGCCGCGGUAAUACGUAGGGGGCGAGCGUUAUCCGGAUUUACUGGGUGUAAAGGGAGCGUAGACGGCCAUGCAAGCUCGGUGUGAAAGGUGCGGGCACAACCCGCAGACUGCACUGAGAACUGUAUGGCUGGAGUGCCGGAGGGGCAGGCGGAAUUCCUGGUGUAGCGGUGAAAUGCGUAGAUAUCAGGGGGAACACCGGUGGCGAAGGCGGCCUGCUGGACGGCGACUGACGUUGAGGCUCGAAAGCG